rnacentral:rRNA from 1 species
AUACGGAGGAUCCGAGCGUUAUCCGGAUUUAUUGGGUUUAAAGGGUGCGCAGGCGGCCAUUUAAGUCAGCGGUUAAAUCGUGGGGCUCAACCCCAUUCUGCCGUUGAUACUGGGUGGCUUGAUUGCGGUCGAGGCUGGCGGAAUUCGUUGUGUAGCGGUGAAAUGCAUAGAUAUGACGAAGAACACCGAUUGCGUAGGCAGCUGACCAGACCGCAAAUGACGCUCAUGCACGAAAGUGCGGGGAUCGAACAGGAUUAGAUACCCUGGUAGUCCGCACAGUAAACGAUGAAUACUUGUUUUCGGCGAUAUAAUGUCGGAGGCAAAGCGAAAGCGAUAAGUAUUCCACCUGGGGAGUACGCCGGCAACGGUGAAACUCAAAGGAAUUGACGGGG